UACAGAGGUGGCAAGCGUUGUUCGGAAUUACUGGGCGUAAAGGGCGCGUAGGCGGCCCCCUGAGUCCCGCGUGAAAUCUCCCGGCUCAACCGGGAGGGUGCGCGGGAUACUGGGGGGCUGGAGGGCAUCAGAGGGAAGCGGAAUCCCCGGUGUAGUGGUGAAAUGCGUAGAUAUCGGGGGGAACACCAGUGGCGAAGGCGGCUUCCUGGGGUGUACCUGACGCUGAGGCGCGAAAGCGUGGGGAGCGAACCGG
rnacentral:rRNA from 1 species